rnacentral:lncRNA from 1 species
AAAUCUCUUGCUGUCAUUUUAAUGGCCAGCUUUCAUACCUAUUCCACUAGCUCUCUGCUCUGUGGCAUGGGGACCUGGCAUCUGGGUCGUUUCUGAACGAUGGUGAUUCUUCCCAGCGCCGCUUCCUGUUGGGCCAGCCUGGGACGUUGGUUUCGGGGAGUUUCAGAGGUGUUAUCCAGGAAGAAUCAUCCAUACUCCACAAAAUGGUUAAUUGAAGAAUCACUCUACCUGAUAGCAAACAAAUCCUAUUCAGGUAAGCCAACAGCAUAAUCCCGGUCUUAAUGAGCCGUUGUCCAUCUCCAGGGAAAUGCCCCUGCAAUUGCCUGUCUAUGACCCCGCCCUGCCUGUGGCCCCACGAGCUCUGUGUUCAGCCUUGAAAACCACCCUGUGCUUGCAAUGCUCCCGCUAGUUCUCUUCUUUAACUGCUAAUCCCACAGUGCCAGGGUGAGCCUUCCCUCCAAUGCAUAUGUAUUUGAAAAUGUGUGUUACCAAACAUUUUCCUGUAAAAGGCCUGUGACUGCUUCUAAUUGUUUCUUUUCUGUACUGCUGUAGUUGGAGAGUUUAUAAAAUAUACUGUUGGCUCCUCCACAUCCUGUGAUAAGUAUGAGAGACUCUAUCUUUCCACCUUUUACUCUAGAGUUGCUCCUGAUACCUUGCUGUCUGCCUGGACCCCCUGCUACAGCAACCGUGGCUAGCCACAUCGCUCCUUCCGUUGCUUGGGGUUUGCCGUAACUGUGUAUGAAAUCCUUGGUGGCCAUAUUUUCUCAGCCAAAAUUUGGGACACAUGGCCAGCCGGGAUGACUGUACAUAUGGGUACACAGGACAUAAUAUUUCUUUCCCAGAAAACCUGAGGCAUAUGGUCUCCAUAUGUACAGAAUCUAUGGCCUCUCGCAUGUCUAUUUAUUGAUGCAUUUCUAGUCACAUGAAUAUGUAACAAUAGUAAUGUGAUUUUUAUAGUCUUGCUGUCGGGGCCUUUCCAUUUGGGAAAGAUAUUCAUCAUUUCUGCUUAUGGCAAAAUUACUUCUCAAUUUAGUGUCCAGCCUUACAUUAUAAGUUAUAUAUCUUGGAUUUGAUGCUCUAUACUGAAUAUAUUUUCUUCUAUUUUAGGGAUCUGUGCUCUGUCUAGGCCAAAAAAAAAAAAGAAAAGAAAAAAAGGCUGUGUGUAUUCAUUUGUUCUGGAAAUGUCUGUGGAGGAGGUUGCUUGAUGGGGAAUCAAUGUGGGGAAUGAUUUCAGGGAAGGUGUGUGGUGAGGAAGCUUUAGAACGUAUAUUAAGGUUUAUGAAGUUAUUUCUCUGUCAACAAACACGAGUAUUUUGAAAGGCAGAAUUGGUGAUUAAUGAGGGGAGGACAAGAAAAUGACAGAAAAUAGAAGUCGAAAUAGUGUGGAAGGUUUUUUCCCUCCCCGGCGUCUGUCCGUCAGCCUGUGCCCAGGCCAACAGCAGUGACGGGAAGUGGAGAAGACGUAUGUGAUGCCGGGGUGGGGGGGUGACGACGAGAUGUAUUUGAGAAAAGACAAGCAGAGCGGGCACACAUAUCCUGCAAGCGACAACUAACGGCGUUCCGGUAGAUGGAGAUAACCCCCACAGUCCGCAAGAGAUGAUCUCUUUGAGUGGAGGAACUGAAACGAGAAACUCCAAGAAGAAAAAUGAACACUGCGUAGCUGUUAAACGAAAUCAGGCAGGAUGCGGCUCCUUAUGGUGACAAGUGGAGCUGCCGUGACUGGCAGACCUUAGACAUCAUAGACUGACCUUCAGAUAGACAUGAAGUCCAAGUAGUGAAAGCCAGUGAGUCGGUUUCUACGACCUGUGUUUUUCAUGAUGGAGGUGCACUGCCCCGUGAGACCAGACACUCUCAGAUUCCACCUCCUGGACUUUACGCCCCCUUUUUGCAGGAGUGAAGUCAUAUUUACUUGGGCUCUUACGUGAACGGCAUCUACCCCUCCACUUCGCUGUUCACCCAUCAGUACAUCCUUCCUUCCUUCCUCCUUUCCUUCCAUUUAUCCUUCCAUUUUGUCACUUAAAGUUUUCAAAUACCUAAUGUAUGCCGGGGGCCAUGGUUGGCACAGGGAUGCAAAGCUGGGAGCUAUCAGUUCCUGUCUAGAGGUACACGGACAUUAAAGUAUUUAUGUAUGUA